UCUGAAUAAGGAAACAAACCGUAGACAGUAGGUGCCUUUGGGCGUAACGGGGCUUCCCAACCUACCGAGGUUUUAGAUAGGAUAUUUAGGCCUCUCUAUGUCUACGGAGAGGCCUUUUGUAUUUCAAAA
rfam:Caloramator australicus RC3, WGS project CAKP01000000 data, contig: 39